AUGCGAUACGUAAUGUGAAUUGCUUUCCGUGAAUCAUCGAAUCUUUGAACGCAUAUUGCACUCUAUUCUGUAGAGUAUGCCUGUUUGAGAAUCUAUAGUAUUUCUUUUAGGAAUUUCUUUUUUGGAAUUCCUAAAGAUCUGAGGCUUUCUCUCCCCCAGGAGAGUGCCUUGAAAUAGAUUAUCUGUACCUCGAAAAGAUGCUUGACGUCUCUCAACAACAGAACAGUAUUUGAAUGGUUUUCAACCUCAAUGCCUAUUAUGUUGCUAGAGAAAUAGUCUAUCGAGAUAUGGGUCCAUAAAACUAUAGUGCUUCUUCUUUGAAGUAGCUCUGAACCUUGGUCUCAAAUCAGGUAGGAAGACCCGCUGAACUUAA
rnacentral:misc_RNA from 1 species